UACAGAGGGGGCAAGCGUUAUUCGGAAUUAUUGGGCGUAAAGGGCGCGUAGGCGGCUUGGCAAGUGGAAGGUGAAAUCCCUCGGCUUAACCGAGGAACUGCCCUCCAAACUGCUUGGCUUGAGACCGGGAGAGGUGAGUGGAAUUCCCAGUGUAGCGGUGAAAUGCGUAGAUAUCAGGAAGAACACCCGUGGCGAAGGCGGCUCUCUGGGACGGUACUGACGCUGAGACGCGAAAGCGUGGGGAGCGAACAGG
rnacentral:rRNA from 1 species